rnacentral:rRNA from 1 species
UUAUACUGCUAUGCCACUGUGAGCAUGCCUAAUCUCAUCUGAUUUCAGAGGUUCAGCAAAGUCAGACCUGGUUAGUAGAAGUGGAGCAGCUUCCUUUCUGCACAGGAAGCUAGGGU